rnacentral:rRNA from 1 species
GAUGAACGCUGGCGGCGUGCCUAAUACAUGCAAGUCGAGCGAAUGGAUUAAGAGCUUGCUCUUAUGAAGUUAGCGGCGGACGGGUGAGUAACACGUGGGUAACCUACCCAUAAGACUGGGAUAACUCCGGGAAACCGGGGCUAAUACCGGAUAACAUUUUGAACCGCAUGGUUCGAAAUUGAAAGGCGGCUUCGGCUGUCACUUAUGGAUGGACCCGCGUCGCAUUAUCUAGUUGGUGAGGUAACGGGUCACCAAGGCAACGAUGCGUCGCCGACCGGAGCGGGUGGUCGGCCACACUGGGACUGAGACACGGCCCAGACUCCUACGGGAGGCAGCAGUAGGGAAUCUUCCGCAAUGGACGAAAGUCUGACGGAGCAACGCCGCGUGAGUGAUGAAGGCUUUCGGGUCGUAAAACUCUGUUGUUAGGGAAGAACAAGUGCUAGUUGAAUAAGCUGGCACCUUGACGGUACCUAACCAGAAAGCCACGGCUAACUACGUGCCAGCCGCCGCCGUAA